CGAGCCAGCUGGGCAAUUGCUAUUUGUCACUCUUUGUCUCCCGCUUAGCGGUCUACGAGGAUGCAGGUAGAGGAAAGUCCGGGCUCCACAGAGCAGGGUGCCAGGUAACGCCUGGGAGGUGUGAACCGACGGCUAGUGCAGCAGAAAAUAUACCGCCCAUCGCCUUGUUAUGAGGUUGUGGGUAAGGGUGAAAUGGUGCGGUAAGAGCGCACCGCGCGACUGGUAACAGCUCGUGGCAUGGUAAACCCCACUCGGAGCAAGGCCAAAUAGGAAUCCUUCGAUGUUGCUCGCAUUGGAUUCGGGUAGGCCGCUAAAAGUCUGUGGUGACACAGACUGUAGAUGAAUAAUUGUCCUCGACAGAACCCGGCUUAUAGGCUGACUCGCCUU
rnacentral:RNase_P_RNA from 1 species